UGGGGAAUUUUGGACAAUGGGCGAAAGCCUGAUCCAGCCAUGCCGCGUGAGUGUAGAAGGCCUUCGGGUUGUAAAGCUCUUUUAGUCGGAAAGAAAGAGUUGCAAUGAAUAAUUGUGAUUUAUGACGGUACCGACAGAAAAAGCACCGGCUAACUACGUGCCAGCAGCCGCGGUAAUACGUAGGGUGCGAGCGUUAAUCGGAAUUACUGGGCGUAAAGGGUGCGCAGGCGGUCUUGCAAGUCAGAUGUGAAAGCCACGGGCUUAACCUGGGAAUUGCGUUUGAAACUACAGGGCUAGAGUGCAGCAGAGGGGAGUGGAAUUCCAUGUGUAGCAGUGAAAUGCGUAGAGAUGUGGAAGAACACCGAUGGUGAAGGCAGCUCCCUGGGUUGACACUGACGCUCAUGCACGAAAGCGUGGGGAGCAAACA
rnacentral:rRNA from 1 species